CUGAAAUAAACUGUUGAAGCUAUUCAGUUUUUUUCUUGAGAAAAAUAUUAGAUGGACAGUUUUCAGU
rnacentral:tRNA from 1 species